rnacentral:sRNA from 1 species
GGUCUCCCCCCUCUUUCUGCCUUUCUAUCUCCCUCUCUCUGCCUGGGUCUCCCCCCUCUUUCUGCCUCUCUAUCCCCCUCUCUCUGCCCUCCCGCACCCGCAGUCUCUCUCUGUUCCUGGGCUUCCUCCUCCAUCUCAGCCGCCCGCACCUCACCGUCCCCCUUUUUUUCUGCUCUCCUCCGUCCUUCCCUUCGCUCUACUUUUGUUCCAAGCCGCCCCUGCCUCUCCAGGGCUAGGAGUGGGACAGGGGUGGGAGAGGUGGUCUCACCAGGCUGCUGGCCCCACGGAGCCUGUCUCCCUGGGGAUGGGAACGGGGAUAGAAGACAAGGGAGGAGGCGCGCGCCCGCUUUGGGGGUUCCGGGUAGGCUGUGAGGACUGCUUUUGGUGAGAGUGCCUUGAGCAGCGGGGAGCAGUUGGAUUCAACUUCAGGGCACAGGAGAAGUUAGGAGAAGAGGGAGAGGGAAAGAGUGGGACACGCAGAACCAGGGUGCCCAGCCAGGCGAGGGUCGGAGGCAGGAACGUUCUAGCCUCUUCCCGUGCGAGUCCUGCUGCCUCUUUGAGCCUCCGUGUCUUCAUCACUGAGGAAGGGAUUUGACCUGAUGAGAGGAAGGUGCCCCUGGCUUCCCAGUAUGAUGAGCUGCCGCACUACCCAGGCAUCGUGGAUGGCCCCGCAGCCCUGGCUGGCUUCCCAGAGGCAGUGACCGCAGUACCAGGGCCCUAUGGCCCGCACCGGCCUCCCCAGCCCCUGCCCCCAGGCUUGGACAGCGACGGCCUGAAGAGGGAGAAGGAUGAGAUCUAUGGACACCCGCUCUUCCCCCUCUUGGCCCUGGUCUUUGAGAAAUGUGAACUGGCUACAUGCUCUCCCCGUGACGGGGCCGGAGCUGGGCUGGGGACACCCCAUGGAGGUGACGUCUGCUCCUCUGAUUCCUUCAAUGAGGACAUCGCUGCCUUUGCCAAGCAGGUUCGCUCUGAGAGGCCCCUCUUCUCCUCCAACCCAGAACUGGACAAUCUGAUGAUCCAGGCCAUCCAAGUGCUGCGGUUCCACCUGCUGGAGCUGGAGAAGGUCCACGACCUGUGCGACAACUUCUGUCACCGCUACAUCACCUGCCUCAAGGGAAAGAUGCCCAUCGACCUGGUCAUCGAGGAUCGGGACGGCGGCUACAGGGAGGACUUCGAGGACUACCCAGCCUCCUGCCCCAGCCUCCCAGACCAGAAUAAUAUGUGGAUUCGAGACCAUGAGGAUAGUGGGUCUGUACAUUUGGGGACCCCAGGUCCAUCCAGUGGGGGCCUGGCCUCCCAGAGUGGGGACAACUCCAGUGACCAAGGAGACGGGCUGGACACCAGCGUGGCCUCUCCCAGUUCUGGUGGAGAAGAUGAGGACUUGGACCAGGAGCGACGGCGAAACAAGAAGAGGGGGAUCUUCCCCAAGGUGGCCACCAACAUCAUGCGAGCCUGGUUGUUCCAGCACCUCUCGCACCCGUACCCCUCGGAGGAGCAGAAGAAACAGCUGGCGCAGGACACGGGGCUCACCAUCUUGCAAGUCAACAACUGGUUCAUUAACGCCCGGAGACGCAUCGUGCAACCUAUGAUCGAUCAAUCCAACCGCACAGGGCAGGGUGCAGCCUUCAGCCCGGAGGGCCAGCCCAUCGGGGGCUAUACCGAGACGCAGCCACACGUGGCCGUCCGGCCUCCGGGAUCAGUGGGGAUGAGUUUGAACUUGGAAGGAGAAUGGCAUUAUCUAUAGAGGCUGAUGCAGGAGAGACCCAGCCUCCGGCUGUGACCCCCAGCGUUACACCUGCCUCUGGUUCCCGCCUGGUCCUCCAGCUUCAGGACCCCACCUCCAAAGGCCCCUCUGCUCAACGCCUACCUCCCUAGGGCCCUGCUGGGACAUGGGGGCCUGAGUGCCCAUCCAAGGGCUCUCAAGGACACCGGCAAGGCCUCCAGGCCCUGAGCCCCACUUCUGCCUUCACCUCUGCCUGGGACCCGAGCUGGGCUCCUGGGCCUUGGUCCCCAGAAGAUGGCGGCUAGGGCCUCGCCGCCAGGACAGAGAAGGGACGGGGUGGCUGGGCAGUCAGGGAAGGAGGGUCGCCCGGAUCCGACAUUUUGGAGAGAUUCCUUCACCCUCCUGUCCCCCCUACCUCCCUUCUCUAAUUGCUUCUUUUUUUUAAUGAUAAAGUCUUAAAAACACGGA